GCUAAUGUUAAGCAAAAUGCCUUAUCGGUUAAUGAUCAUCAUUAAAUGUGUCACGUUAAGUGACACCGUGACACAUAAACGUGUAUGCCACACUAUAAAAGCACUAAACGCACAAAAUACAACGUAUAAUCUAAAAUUAAAAUCUAGAAGAAGAAAAAAAAUACUCUUUCAUUCAGUUAACCCUAACAUUUCCUAAAAAAAAAACCCUUAUUAUCCCUUCUAUCUUCUUUGUCCGUAUCUUUUUCCGGCCACUAUGGUUUGCUUCAAAGUCUCCGGCCAUCGCUUUUGUCUUCAAAAUCUCCAGACGUUACCUUCGAAAUCAUCAUCAUUUGAGGUAAGUUUUCUUUGUCUUCGUAUAAUGCAUUCAAAAUUGACAUUUGUAUCAUUGGUUGAUGCAUUUGAAGUUUGCAUUUUGCUCAUUUAACAAUUUGUAUUGAUGAUUUCAAAGUUUUAUCAUUUGUGACAGUAAUAAUUUGAGAAUUUGGGGAUUUGAUGAUUUUAAGAUUUGAGAGUUUAAGAAUAAGAAGAAAAAAAAUAGAGAAGAAGAAUUAGCCGCUAGCCUCUUUAAUGUUCCUAUUUACUCUUAAAAUAUUCUUUGUGAUGUGUCAUCCAUGUUUAUGUGUCACAAUGUCACUUAACAUAACACAUCAACACCUCUAACAUUUGCUCAUUGAUAGAGGGAAUAUUUUAUUUGGUGUUAGACAAAAUUGAAAAGUUUUUUCAUGAAGCGUAAAUUUCAAGGAGUUUUUCUACAUACAGUUACAAUUUUAGGAAGUGAAGUUUUCUUUUUUAAUAUAAGCCCCAAAAAAGAUAAUCAAUGCUAUUAAAAAAAUUAUAAUGAAUUUUUGUAUUGAGUGGAGGGCUGGACUCAAAGAAGUUAGUUGAGUUUGAUGAAAAAUAUAUGUGUUCGGAAAAUAAAGAAUUAGAGAAAUUUAAAUAACUAUUAAAACAUAAAAAAAAAAUUAACAUGGAAGUUCUAAAAUCACGACUGUUGUUAAACGACAACUAGAGAAUAACACUGUGUGAAAAUUAUUAUAGUAUAUAGACUUCUCGCACUCUUCAAAGUAAAUAUUUGAACUAUAUCUCACAACAUUUUAAUACAAGAAUAGAAAAUAAAAGAAAAAAGUCAGAUACAUGCUUAAAGUAUUUUUGAAUAAUGCGAGUUAGAGAGAAAAAUAAAAUAGAACCAUAUAUAUAAUAUUAAAUUCCCUCUUUCUUUAUGAUUCUAAACAAUUUAAAACUUUUUCAAAUUCUUAAUUUCAAUCAAACCUAACCGUAUGCCUUCCAAGCAUCUUAGAGGAUAAUUAGGGGAUUAAGGAUCUUCAAAAUAUUAGGAGUUUUGAGUUGAGUUAUACUCAUACAAGCUGUAUUCCAUGGAGAGACUUUCAUACAAGGUCUAUUUGGUGGAGGAACAAAAUUUCCAUUGAUCAUUUUGUUGAUAGAUAUAUAAACUAAUUGUUUCUUAUGUUUUUAAUUUAAGAGAAUCAAAAUAAAAUAAAUUUAAAAAAAAAAUCAAAAAAUAAUUUAAAGAAUUAAAAAUGUAGUUUAUCCUAUUAACUAGAGGGUAAAAAGUGAAGGAAAAAAAUUAAUAUUAUAUUAAAAUUUAAAAGUGACAUUCAUUGUGAUUUUUUUUUUUUAAAUGUGACUCUCAUUGAUUUGAGAAUGACGUUGAAAUUAAAUAAAAUAUGAAAGAAGAUAUAAAAUGGAGAUAAUAAUAAUAAUAAUAAUAAUAAUAAUAAUAAUAAUAAUAAUAAUAAUAAUAAUAAUAAUAAUAAUUUUGAAACAGAACAAAUUCAUAGAAGUAAUAUUUGUAUCAAAUUUAUUUAUUUUUCAAAAACUCAAAAUAUCAAUAUGAAAUUGUGAAAUGUGAACACAUUGAACGCAUUGAACGCAUUUGAGCAAGCAGAUAAAAAGUACUACUGAUAUUUUUAGAUGCAGUUAAAGACACGUAGUCCACAAAAGUCAUAGCAAUGGACAUUUACUUAUUUGGAAAGAUGAAUGCACCAUUUUGAGUAUCACUUGUAUUAUUUCUAACACCAUAUGAAUUUAUUCUAUUUUUCAUUUUCUAAAACUAAUAAAAUUUUAAAGAGAUAUACUUAAUUGAGCACAAUCUUAAAUUAAAAAUAUUUAGAUACCCUCACACAAAUAAAAAAAAUUAAAUAAUAAAACUAAAUUAUUUCUCUUUUAAUUAUUUUUAUUUGUGUGAGCUCAAACACCAUUUUUAAAAUACAAACAAAAUUAAAGUACACCGUAUUCAAAAUCACAUUUUUUAUUUCAAGAAUAUUUUCUAUUUGAGAUAGAAGUACUGAACAUAAAAGCACAAGCUCUGCAAGCUUGCUUUUUCUAGUUUUGCUUUUUAGGCAAGUAGGUGAAAAGCAGUAAUUAUUAAAUAGGUAAGAGCAUUGAACCGUAUGAUAAAAUUCAAAUUUUGCACAGUAACAAUGUUGUACAACUUGUACUAAUUUGUUUGUCUAAAAAAAAAACUUGUACUAAUUUGUUUUUGACUCUAACAUACAUUGAAUCUAAAAGAGAGUCUUUAUUUUGAAUUUAAGACAUUCCUACUGGAAGAUGGAGUAAUUAAAUUGCAAGAGGAUGUAGUCUUAUGACUCAUCACAUUAGCCGAAACUAGCUAAUUACUUGCAAAGUGAUUUAGUUACAACAUUUUUAGCCAAAUCUAAGUAUAGUAAUUUUUUAUAUAUAAAAAUUAUGAUAAAUACUACCAUAAAAAUUACAUAUAAUUUAUUUACGAAGUUUUUAAUUCAAACUAUAAAUAAAAUAUUUAUUUAAUAAAAUUGAUAUUUUUUAAUUGAGUUAAAACUUAAAGAUAUAUACAUAAAAUUUUACCAUAUUAAAUAUAUGUUCAAAGAACAAAUCAGUAAUUGAACCAUUUUUGAAAAAAAUAUCCUACGUUGUCUUCCAGUAUAGUAAAAGAGGAUGAAUGUCAAUAUAAUGUUAUUUUUUAUUAUAAUUUAUUUAUAUUAUAACUUAUUUAAAUAGUAGAAGUUAUUUUUAAUUCGUUUUUAUGUAUUAAAACAAUUCAUUUUAACAUUCAAUAUCCUAUAUAUUUAUUAAUAGAGAUUUUAAUAUUAAUGAUAUAUAAAAAUAACAUAUUUUUUUUAGUAAAAAACGUAUUUCUAAAAAAUGAUUAUUAUAAAAAGCUUCUUAUUUUAAAUAUUGUUUGAAAUUUUAUUAUUAAAAAAAAUUAUAACAAAUAGAUGCAAUAAUUAAAAAGAUAUUUUAUAAUAAAUUAUUUAAAUUAAUUUUUUAUUUAAAACUUUAUUUUAAAAGCAUUAUAACAAAAAAAAAAAUAGAAUAUUAUAAAAAUUAAGUUUCUAAAAAGAUUGUAACAAAUGGACUCAAUAUUGUUUUAGAAUUAUAUUAUGAGAUGUAAUUAUAUAUUUACUUUGAAAAAUAAGAUUAUAUUAACGGACAUAAUCCAGCGUCAUGUAUCCCUCUUACUUAUUUAUGUUGUUACAAGUAAUUAAAUAAUUUUGUCUAUAUUCUUAUUUUAGUUUUGUCUGGCACCUCUCUCACUAUUUUAUAUUAUUUUUUAGAGAUUUUUUUUUUUAAAAGGAAGUUAUAUUGAGUUUGUUUAUUUUUAUAAUAAAAAUCACUAUUUUAAAAAAUAAAUUAUGAAUUUUUUUAUAAACUAUUAAAUACAAAUUUUGUUUUAGAUAUAAUUGAAAAAAUAAUUCUUCAAAUUCGCAUUGUUUUUUCAAAAAGUUAUAACAAACAUAUGCUAACUUUUGAAAAUAAUUAUUUUGUUAAAAAAUAUAUUUUUGCUUAUGAAAUGAGCGGUAACAAAUGGCCUCUUUAUUACGCCCUAAAUCAGAACUCGCAAUAGCGUCCACAUAUUUUUUUUUAAUGUUUUUUUAUUUUAUAAAUAUUUUUUGGGACCUUAUCUUAACAAUGGGGAUUUUGAGUUUUUUCAAUACAAUUUGUCAUGUUCAGUAUUACUGAAUUUGAUAAAUGUGUAUAAAUUGUAGGUAACUCAAGUCAAUUAUAUUGAUUUUUGAUACUACAUUAAAUUUUUAUAAUGAAUUUAAUUUAUAUUCUUACAAAAUUAAUUUAUAAAAUGAGAGUGUCUUUCUUUAUAAAUUCAUUUAAAGUUUUAUUUUUUAAUUUUUUUUUGUAAUUUGAAUUUUUUAAAUAAAUGCUUUUUAAAAUAUUAUUAUUCAUCACUGCAUUUUAUCAAUUUUUAAUCCCACCUUUUAUAAAAAUAGGUGCUUAUGACAAUUCGUGAUAUUUAUGUUCUCACAGAGAAGUACUAAAAACACCUUUUUUUUAAUAAAAAGUGUGGAUUAGAUGGAAAUAUUUUUAGAGUGAUUCUAAAUUAUACAAAUGAUUUUUAAAAGAAAUAAAAAGAAUAAUAUUUUAUCUUAUUAUAAAUAUUAAUUAAAAAAUCAAUUCUGAAUUUAAAAAAAAUCCUGAAUUAAUAUAUAUUAAAAUAAUUUAUCAUAUAACCUGAUUGUUUUUCGUUUUUUCAUUUUACUAUUUUGUAUAUGAUCUAACUUUAAAAGUUCCACAAUUUUAUAGAGAUUUAAACAUAUUUCCCUUUUUUUUUUUUACAAAAUUUAGUGGUUGGUUUGGGUGUUGAUCGAACAAGAACUAAAAAAAAUCAGACAAGAGAAGGAAAUCGAUCAAAGAAGUACGUGUCCCUCAUGGCUCGUGUCGUUGUCAAAGAAGUACAUGCUUGGAAAUCGGUCAUGUUUUGCUGUGUUCUAGUUCAUUCGGUUUUCAUGCACUUUCUACUAUUUAGGUGUGUGGUGCUACAACCAAAUCCUAUUGUGUCUAUUAAUUAUCAAACAUGUUGGCUAUAAACUCUAGUGUCAAUAUAUUUUGUAUAAAUGAUUAUUUAUUAUGACUUUAGAUUAUAUAUCUAAUUUUGUUUAUAUAUAUACAUCAGUUAUUAUCA
rnacentral:lncRNA from 1 species